UGGGGGAUAUUGCACAAUGGGCGAAAGCCUGAUGCAGCGACGCCGCGUGGGGGAUGAAGGCCUUCGGGUUGUAAACUUCUUUUGCCCUGAACAAGGCAUGCUAAUGGGUGUGUUGAGUGUAGGGGUUGAUUAGCGCCGGCUAACUACGUGCCAGCAGCCGCGGUAAUACGUAGGGCGCGAGCGUUGUCCGGAAUUAUUGGGCGUAAAGGGCUUGUAGGUGGCUGGUUGCGUCUGUCGUGAAAGCUCAUGGCUUAACUGUGGGUUUGCGGUGGGUACGGGCUGGCUUGAGUGCAGUAGGGGAGGCUGGAAUUCCUGGUGUAGCGGUGGAAUGCGCAGAUAUCAGGAGGAAUACCGGUGGCGAAGGCGGGUCUCUGGGCUGUUACUGACACUGAGGAGCGAAAGCAUGGGGAGCGAACAGG
rnacentral:rRNA from 1 species